rnacentral:rRNA from 1 species
CACGGGGGGAGCAAGCGUUGUUCGGAAUCACUGGGCGUAAAGGGCGUGUAGGCGGUCAGGUAAGUGGGAUGUGAAAUGCCCCCGGCUCACCCGGGGACCGGCAUCCCAUACUGCUUGGCUUGAGUACGGGAGAGGAUGUGGGAAUUCCUGGUGUAGCGGUGAAAUGCGUAGAUAUCAGGAGGAACACCGGUGGCGAAGGCGCACAUCUGGCCCGAUACUGACGCUGAGGCGCGAAAGCUAGGGGAGCAAACAGG